rnacentral:rRNA from 1 species
GAUGAACGCUGGCGGCGUGCCUAAUACAUGCAAGUCGAGCGAACAGACGAGGAGCUUGCUCCUCUGACGUUAGCGGCGGACGGGUGAGUAACACGUGGAUAACCUACCUAUAAGACUGGGAUAACUUCGGGAAACCGGAGCUAAUACCGGAUAAUAUAUUGAACCGCAUGGUUCAAUAGUGAAAGACGGUUUUGCUGUCACUUAUAGAUGGAUCCGCGCCGCAUUAGCUAGUUGGUAAGGUAACGGCUUACCAAGGCGACGAUGCGUAGCCGACCUGAGAGGGUGAUCGGCCACACUGGAACUGAGACACGAUCCAGACUCCGACGGGAGGCAGCAGUAGGGAAUCGUCCGCAAUGGGCGAAAGCCUGACGGAGCAACGCCGCGUGAGUGAUGAAGGUCUUCGGAUCGUAAAACUCUGUUAUGAGGGAAGAACGAAUGUGUAAGUAACUAUGCACGUCUUGACGGUACCUAAUCAGAAAGCCACGGCUAACUACGUG